rnacentral:rRNA from 1 species
GACGAACGCUGGCGGCGUGCUUAACACAUGCAAGUCGAACGGAAAGGCCCUGCUUUUGUGGGGUGCUCGAGUGGCGAACGGGUGAGUAACACGUGAGUAACCUGCCCUUGACUUUGGGAUAACUUCAGGAAACUGGGGCUAAUACCGGAUAGGAGCUCCUGCUGCAUGGUGGGGGUUGGAAAGUUUCGGCGGUUGGGGAUGGACUCGCGGCUUAUCAGCUUGUUGGUGGGGUAGUGGCUUACCAAGGCUUUGACGGGUAGCCGGCCUGAGAGGGUGACCGGCCAACAUGGGCCUGAGAGAGGCCCCAGACUCCAACGGGCGGCAGGGGUGGGAAAUAUGACAGAGGGGGGGGAGGCGAGAGGCGAAGGCCCCGGGGGCGGAAUGCCGGCUUUGGGGUGAAAAACCAAUUUGUAAGGAAACAAGGAGGGAGUGACGGUAAUGGAUAAGAAAGCCCCGGCUAACUACGUG